GACGAACGCUGGCGGCGUGCUUAACACAUGCAAGUCGAACGGAAAGGCCCUGCUUUUGUGGGGUGCUCGAGUGGCGAACGGGUGAGUAACACGUGAGUAACCUGCCCUUGACUUUGGGAUAACUUCAGGAAACUGGGGCUAAUACCGGCUAGGAGCUCCUGCUGCAUGGUGGUGGUUGGAAAGCUUCGGCGGUUGGGGAUGGACUCGGGGCUUAUCAGCUUGUUGGUGGGGUAGUGGCUUACCAAGGCUUUGACGGGUAGCCGGCCUGAGAGGGUGACCGGCCACAUUGGGACUGAGAUACGGCCCAGACUCCUACGGGAGGCAGCAGUGGGGAAUAUUGCACAAUGGGCGGAAGCCUGAUGCAGCAACGCCGCGUGCGGGAUGACGGCCUUCGGGUUGUAAACCGCUUUCGCCUGUGACGAAGCGUGAGUGACGGUAAUGGGUAAAGAAGCACCGGCUAACUACGUG
rnacentral:rRNA from 1 species